UACGGGGGGGGCAAGCGUUGUUCGGAAUUACUGGGCGUAAAGGGCUCGUAGGCGGCCAACUAAGUCAGACGUGAAAUCCCCAGGCUCAACCUGGGAACUGCGUCUGAUACUGGAUGGCUUGAAUCCGGGAGAGGGAUGCAGAAUUCCAGGUGUAGCGGUGAAAUGCGUAGAUAUCUGGAGGAAUACCGGUGGCGAAGGCGGCAUCCUGGACCGGCAUUGACGCUGAUGAGCGAAAGCUAGGGGAGCAAACAGG
rnacentral:rRNA from 1 species